rnacentral:rRNA from 1 species
GACGGAGGAUGCAAGUGUUAUCCGGAAUCACUGGGCGGAAAGCGUCUGUAGGUGGUUUAAUAAGUCAACUGUUAAAUCUUGAGGCUCAACCUCAAAAUCGCAGUCGAAACUAUUAGGCUAGAGUAUAGUAGGGGUAAAGGGAAUUUCCAGUGGAGCGGUGAAAUGCGUAGAGAUUGGAAAGAACACCGAUGGCGAAGGCACUUUACUGGGCUAUUACUAACACUCAGAGACGAAAGCUAGGGUAGCAAAUGGG